rnacentral:rRNA from 1 species
GUGAGCAACCUGCCCCAGGCUUUGGGAUAACCCCGGGAAACCGGGGCUAAUACCGAAUAUGACCUCCGAUCGCAUGGUUGGUGGUGGAAAGUUUUUCGGCUUGGGAUGGGCUCGCGGCCUAUCAGCUUGUUGGUGGGGUGAUGGCCUACCAAGUCGACGACGGGUAGCCGGCCUGAGAGGGCGACCGGCCACACUGGGACUGAGACACGGCCCAGACUCCUACGGGAGGCAGCAGUGGGGAAUAUUGCACAAUGGGCGGAAGCCUGAUGCAGCGACGCCGCGUGAGGGAUGACGGCCUUCGGGUUGUAAACCUCUUUCAGCAGGGACGAAGCGUAAGUGACGGUACCUGCAGAAGACGCGCCGGCCAACUACGUGCCAGCAGCCGCGGUAAGACGUAGGGCGCGAGCGUUGUCCGGAUUUAUUGGGCGUAAAGAGCUCGUAGGCGGCUUGUCGCGUCGACUGUGAAAACCCGCAGCUCAACUGCGGGCCUGCAGUCGAUACGGGCAGGCUAGAGUUCCUUUCGGCCGGUUAUCCCCU